UACGAAGGGUGCUAGCGUUGUUCGGAAUUACUGGGCGUAAAGCGCGCGUAGGCUGUUUGACAAGUCAGAGGUGAAAGCCCUGGGCUCAACCCAGGAAUUGCCUUUGAAACUGUCAGACUAGAGUGUCGGAGGGGAUAGCGGAAUUCCUAAUGUAGAGGUGAAAUUCGUAGAUAUUCGGAGGAACACCAGUGGCGAAGGCGGCUCACUGGCCCGGUACUGACGCUGAGGUGCGAAAGCGUGGGGAGCAAACAGG
rnacentral:rRNA from 1 species